ACGUAGGGUCCGAGCGUUGUCCGGAAUUAUUGGGCGUAAAGAGCUCGUAGGCGGUAUGUCGCGUCUGCUGUGAAAGACCGGGGCUUAACUUCGGUUUUGCAGUGGAUACGGGCAUGCUGGAGGUAGGUAGGGGAGACUGGAAUUCCUGGUGUAGCGGUGAAAUGCGCAGAUAUCAGGAAGAACACCCGUGGCUAAGGCGGCUCUCUAGUACGGUACUGACGCUGAGACGCGAAAGCGUGGGGAGCGAACAGGA
rnacentral:rRNA from 1 species